UGAUGGGAGGGCAAUCUGGCUGCCUUCUCUAUCACCCAUCCAUUCUCCAGAGUUGAUUCUGCUCAUCCGACUUUCUAGCUGGGGUUUCUCUUCCCCUCUCAAUUUUCCAUCUGCAUCCUUCCCAAAGCUCAGUCAAAAAAGGAUGAUCUACCCAUAGAGAGAAGAAAUCAUCUCCAGUCAAGGGCAUUGAGGUUGUUGAAUUCCCUAGGUAUAACUACAAAACUAGCUCUGCUUGUGGAGGGUAGAUAAUUUCCUUUAAUUUUCUGAAUCCUUAUACCUGUGA
rnacentral:snRNA from 1 species